AGUUUGAUCCUGCUCAGGACGAACGCUGGCGGCGUGCUUAACACAUGCAAGUCGAGCGGUAAGGCCUUCGGGGUACACGAGCGGCGAACGGGUGAGUAACACGUGGGUGAUCUGCCCUGCACUUCGGGAUAAGCCUGGGAAACUGGGUCUAAUACCGGAUAUGACCAAAGGCUGCAUGGCUUUUGGUGGAAAGGUUUACUGGUGCAGGAUGGGCCCGCGGCCUAUCAGCUUGUUGGUGGGGUAAUGGCCUACCAAGGCGACGACGGGUAGCCGACCUGAGAGGGUGACCGGCCACACUGGGACUGAGACACGGCCCAGACUCUACGGGAGGCAGCAGUGGGGAAUAUUGCACAAUGGGCGAAAGCCUGAUGCAGCGACGCCGCGUGAGGGAUGAAGGCCUUCGGGUUGUAAACCUCUUUCAGCAGGGACGAAGCGAAAGUGACGGUACCUGCAGAAGAAGCACCGGCUAACUACGUGCCAGCAGCCGCGGUAAUACGUAGGGUGCGAGCGUUGUCCGGAAUUACUGGGCGUAAAGAGUUCGUAGGCGGUUUGUCGCGUCGUCUGUGAAAACCCACCGCUCAACGGUGGGCCUGCAGGCGAUACGGGCAGACUUGAGUACUGCAGGGGAGACUGGAAUUCCUGGUGUAGCGGUGAAAUGCGCAGAUAUCAGGAGGAACACCGGUGGCGAAGGCGGGUCUCUGGGCAGUAACUGACGCUGAGGAACGAA
rnacentral:rRNA from 1 species